rnacentral:lncRNA from 1 species
AUGUACAAAUUAAUAGUAAAUGAUGCUGCAAGAACAAGACCCGACUUGGUCCGUGAUGAAACGAGGGUGGCUUGCUCCGCAAACAUGAUCGUUAACAACGAGCCCUCUCCCCAGCCAGGCCUAUCAGACGCACAGAACCCAACCUCAACGAAUCACCAGAUCGAAAGAAACAAUUCGGAAUCUGCAGAUACAAGCUUUCGAGUACAGGUACGAGAAAUCGAUAUGAGCAACCAUGAAAAUAUCAACAUUGAGGUUAUCGUGGCUGAUGACCGAAUCCCUCUUGAAGACUACUUGGACAGCCAGCUCUCACACCAGCUCUUUGUGGACCUCGCAGAAAACGAUGGGUCACUUUCGGCGUUACCGGAAGCACCCACCUCAACUUCCCAGAACAACCCGUUUUACGGUCAGUACCCUCUCAGUGCGUACUUCCAGGACGUGGAGAUGCCUGAACUGGAGGCUCCUUACAUGGCGAGUUCCGAGGGGUUUUCCGGUGACGUAGCCUGGGACAACCAACCGGAAACGAGGGGGCCGCCGGCGAGCGUCCUCGGCGACGGAUGGAACACACCGGAAACAGGAAACGGCCGGGUGUCCCGGAUGUCCCAUCGGACCUGGGACAUCCUGCUCUCGGUCAACCCCGCAACAGGUUCCGGUGAUACUCCUCCUGGCGCCAGAGCCCCGCUAAGAUUCGAAGCCUCCACUUCCGGUGUGACGGUUCGACCGGAAAUGAGGCGCAGCUACUCUCCGAGGACGUUGUACGACGCGUGGAACGCUCCACCGGAAAGGGGGCCGCCGCUUCGCGAGGCCGCGUCACUAUCCGUUCAACCGGAAACGGAAACCAUGCGAGAGGCCGGCACUCUGUACGAUGUGUGGAACAUCGCCCCUGAAAAUGGCUCUCGAGUGCCUACUUCCGGGAACCGAGACGAGCUGAGUUCGGAUGCUCUUUUUAUCCGCUCAAGCUCUGCAGAGCCCACUCGAAGCAAUCCCAUUUCCGGUGAAAUUUCGACCACGUCGGAGAUUCUGGCCGGUGCUCUGGCCACUCUCAAUGAGCCUUAUGGGGAAUUAGUUCCGGUUCUCAGAGCAACGACUUCCAGCUCGAUGUCUAGUUCCGAUACAACGACCGUUAACGCCGAUGUUACUUCCGGUGCAGUUACUGACGGGCAGUUUCUUCCGGUGCAGCAAUCUCCGGUAAAGUCACUCCUGAGGCAGCCACUUCCGGUGCAGCUUUUACCAGUACUCUUACCACUCUGA